CAGUAGGGAAUCUUCGGCAAUGGGGGCAACCCUGACCGAGCAACGCCGCGUGAGUGAAGAAGGUUUUCGGAUCGUAAAGCUCUGUUGUAAGAGAAGAACGUGUGUGAGAGUGGAAAGUUCACACAGUGACGGUAACUUACCAGAAAGGGACGGCUAACUACGUGUCAG
rnacentral:rRNA from 1 species